rnacentral:rRNA from 1 species
AACGAACGCUGGCGGCAUGCCUAACACAUGCAAGUCGAACGAGACCUUCGGGUCUAGUGGCACACGGGUGCGUAACGCGUGGGAACCUGCCCUUAGGUUCGGAAUAACUCCCCGAAAGGGGUGCUAAUACCGGAUAAUGUCUUCGGACCAAAGAUUUAUCGCCUUUGGAUGGGCCCGCGUUGGAUUAGCUAGUUGGUAGGGUAAAAGCCUACCAAGGCGACGAUCCAUAGCUGGUCUGAGAGGAUGAUCAGCCACACUGGGACUGAGACACGGCCCAGACUCCUACGGGAAGCAGCAGUGGGGAAUAUUGGACAAUGGGCGAAAGCCUGAUCCAGCAAUGCCGCGUGAGUGAUGAAGGCCUUAGGGUUGUAAAGCUCUUUUACCCGGGAUGAUAAUGACAGUACCGGGAGAAUAAGCUCCGGCUAACUCCGUG